AUGGCAAGAGUCAGUGUUUCCCUCCAAUCCCCAAAGGACUGCACAAUUUGGCCUUGUUUGCAUGGGGCUUCUCUCUCUCCGUUAGAAUGGGAAAAGGGAACCUUACCUAGAGCACCCGAGGCAGCACAGCUCUCAAGACGUGUCAACCCCUCUUUGUGUAUCGUCCAAUCAACAGGAGUCCUGCUCUCUACUUCCGCUGGUAAUUGGGGGGAGAUGGGAAAGGCGUGCGCACGCAUGGCACAGGGUAAACACUCGCUUCCAGAGAUGAACGGGUAGAAGUGUCAGAUGGAAGGAGAAAAAGAGUGAAGGAAGAAAAUAGAUAAAAUCAUUUAUGUAGACCAUUUGGAAUUGUGUAGCUUCCAACACUUCAGAUUCGAAGAGCAGAAGCGGAGAAGAGUGGUGUCUUUCCGACAAGCCUCCUUCGAUACGGAUCCUAGAAGAGAGCGUCCUUUUGUGGGAGUUUACUGAAUAUAUACGUCCAGCAGAAAACCAAAACUUUUCAUAUUUUAAUUCUUAAAAAUAAAAUAAAAAUCCUACGGAAUGCAUAAAGAUAAUUUUCUAUUCACCAAUCGCUGCCUUUAAACUGGUGGAACGUGAAUACAUUUUCAUAGGCCUACUAAUAGAUAAACAAAACAUCAACUUUUAUAUGCAUUUUUGUUAAUCUUUUCGAUGGAUUAGUUGGCAUUUUUUUUAUCUCCAUUUUAUGGCAUAGUAUAACAUUCAACACGCUUUCUCAACAUUUUUAAACAUUUUUAUUGGAUUAGAGCACUCUGUUUGAGAAGAUAAAUUGAUCCAACGAGGGAAGAG
rnacentral:lncRNA from 13 species